rnacentral:other from 1 species
AGCCCCCUGCCGUGUGCGUGAUGGCGGCUUUUGUCUUGAGCCAACGCUCAAGGAUUGGGGCGAGGACCCUACGAAUUGAGAGCUCAGAUAUGAGCUUUCAGGAAUGGGUAUUCCGACCCCCUCCGUAAUUCUUGGGUUCAAAGACACCCGUUUCCACGGCACGGCGGAGGGCAU